rnacentral:rRNA from 1 species
GACGAACGCUGGCGGCGCGCCUAAUACAUGCAAGUCGAGCGAGAACCGGGACUUCGGUCCCGGGGACAGCGGCGAACGGGUGCGUAACACGUGAGCAACCUGCCCCGAAGACCGGGACAAGCCGGGGAAACCUGGUCUAAUACCGGAUGCCCUCACCGGAUCGUAUGGUCUGGUGAGGAAAUGGAUUCCGCUUCGGGAUGGGCUCGCGGUCUAUCAGCUUGUUGGUGGGGUAACGCUCACCAAGGCGACGACGGAUAGCUGGUCUGAGAGGACGAUCAGCCACACUGGGACUGAGACACGGCCCAGACUCCUACGGGAGGCAGCAGUAGGGAAUCUUGCGCAA